rnacentral:snRNA from 1 species
GGUCAUCGCGCUUGGUUGAA